GUAAAAGCGCGUUGUAGAGGAUCAUUGGCUAUAGUAAAAAAAAUACCAAAGCUCAGUUUCUGUCGCUAUCCAGUAGUCCCUCCCAAGUCCCUUUCUCUUUCUUCUCAUAUCACCGAGAGAAACAUCGCUUGUUCGAAACCCACCGGCAAAUUUUCUCCGGCGAAGAUUGAUUUUGGAAAUCUUUCAGGUUUGCGAUUUCCGUGGUUCUUUCUUAUGUUUUUCAUCGUUAACUUGAGUAGUGUUGUUGUCUAUAACUGACACUGGCCGUGGAGUUGGGGUCCAGUUUGUGUGUGGUGUGGAAGAAGCUGAACUUAUUGCGCGGAGGUAGAGUUUCAGAGCUUGGAGAAGUGACUUUGAAAAUUUGGGGUUUUUGCUUUGGGGUUGUCAGCGGAAAGAAUGUCUUUCCAGCAUAAAAGCUUUUGGAUACCUAGGGAUGCUGGAUGUUUAACUGAUGGAGAGAUGAACUAUGAUAGCUCCUCCAGAAUUGAAACCAAACGUGGCCAUCAGUGGUUCAUGGAUGGCAGUGCACCAGAGCUAUUCAGUAGCAAGAAGCAAGCAAUUGAAGCUGUAAAUUCUAGACCUGUUCCUGGAGUUCCACACAUGAAUGUUUCUCCCUGGGAAAACACUUCAAGUUUUCAGUCAGUCCCUGGCCACUUCACUGAUCGUCUUUUUGGCUCAGAGCCAAUACGAACUGUCAACUUGGUUGAUAGAGGCAUCUCUGUGGGAAAUGCAAAUAUGGACAUGGGAAGAAAGGAGUUUGAGAAUCAUUUUACAAACAACCCAUCCGUUGGCUUGUCCAUGUCCCAAUCCAUUGAGGAUCCCUCAUCAUGCCUCAAUUUUGGUGGAAUUAGAAAAGUUAAAGUCAAUCAAGUGAGGGAUCCUGACGUUGGCAUGCCUGCUUCUUUGGGGCAUGGCUAUAGUAGGGGUGAUAAUUGUACAAUUUCGAUGGGUUCAGGAUUUAACAAAAACCAUGAGAACACCAUAUCAUUGGGCCAAACUUAUAAUAGUAGAGAUGAGAAUGCCAUUUCGGUUGGCCCUGCAUAUCACAAGACAGAUGACAAUUUUAUUUCAAUGGGUCAUGCUUUCAGCAAGGGCGAUGGGAGUUUUAUUACAAUUGGUCAUAACUAUAGCAAGGGAGACAAUAGCAUCUUAUCGAUGAAUCAGCCUUUUGACAAGGGGGAUGACUCUUUUAUUUCAAUGGGUCAAUCUUAUGAGAAGGCUGAAGGAAAUAUCAUCUCUUUUGCCUCCUACAAUAAAGGGCAAGAAAAUUUUAUAUCAAUGGGGCCAGCCUAUAGUAAGGCGGGUGAUACUUUCAUUUCAAUGGCUUCAUCCUUUAAUAAGGGGAAUGAUGACAACUUAUCCAUGGCUCCAACCUAUGACAAGGUGAACUCUGACAUUGUACAUGUCGGUCCUAAAUUUGACAAAGCAGAUUCUGGUGCUGUGUCAAUGGCUCACAACUAUCAUAAGGGUGAGAGUAAUACCAUAUCUUUUGGAGGUUUUGAUGACGAGAAUGGUACAGAUAAUCCUUCUGGUGGGAUCAUUAGCAGUUAUGACUUGUUAAUGGCUAAUCAGGCUUCUGCCCAGGCAUCAGAAGUAUCAACCCUGAGAGACUCGGUUGAUCCCAAUGUGGAAGUAAACAUUAACAAUGCCAUAAAGGUUGAUGGAAAAAUCGACACAAAUUCCAAAAAUAAAGAGCCGAGGAUGAGUAAGAAGGUUCCACCAAAUAGCUUCCCUUCAAAUGUUAAAAGCUUGCUCUCCACUGGUAUGCUUGAUGGGGUUCCUGUGAAAUAUGUUUCUUGGUCACGGGAGAAAAAUCUCAAGGGAAUUAUUAAAGGGACUGGAUACUUGUGCAGUUGUGAGAACUGCAAUCAUGCAAAGGCUCUCAAUGCUUAUGAAUUUGAGAGGCACGCUGGCUGCAAGACCAAACAUCCAAAUAACCAUAUUUACUUUGAGAACGGGAAAACUAUCUAUGCUGUUGUUCAAGAGCUAAAGAACACCCCUCAGGAGAUGCUAUUUGAUGCAAUCCAGAAUGUGACUGGCUCUCCCAUUAAUCAGAAGAACUUCCGUAUUUGGAAAGCAUCGUAUCAAGCUGCCACCCUUGAACUCCAGCGUAUUUAUGGAAAAGAUGAAGUAAUUAUGCCUUCUUGAGAUGGGGAUUUUCCUUUUUAAAUUUUGAGGUAGGCUAUAUGUUGUCAUCUGUGCUUAGCAUUGUUCAGAUUUGAAUACAUUAGGUCUCAAUUUUACUUUUAAUACUUGACGAAGUAUAUGUCUAUAAAUAUAUAUGUUUUUCUGUUCUCUCUAGAUUAAGUUGAUAGAAUAUCGAGGGGAAGUUUUGGAUAACCAUAUACUUGUAAGUAGGUGGCUAAUGACUUUGGAUUGUGCAAUUGGAUGCACGGUGCCAUUCCCUACCUCACUUGUAGUAACUAAGAUAUUGCUCCUAACUGUUUUAUUAUGCUCCCAAAAUUUUAAGUUGUAAAGAUUAAAGAAAAAUCAUGGGAUAGCAUAGUGUAAAGUGUUGUUACAUGUACAAAGUUAAGUCAUGAAAUAGAAAAAAUAGUGAUCAAAAUGUUUUGAAGCAUCUCAUUGGUUCUUUUUGAGGAAUACUCAUCUUUAUGUUUCCUAUUAAAAAAUGUUUUGAAGCAGAACUUACUACUGUACUAUCUUAGUUUUUCCCAUCUCACUCUUUUACUAGUUUUAUCUUUAAAGUUCACACAAUGUAGCUAGCUCUCUAUGUGACAAACAUAUAGACAAGGAAAAUUCCAAGUAUUUUCGAUAACCUAGGAUAAAUGAACAUGUAAGCGAAGCAUCUUGGGGACUUGGAGCGCAGAGGCUGACCUCAAAGAUAUACCUACCAGGGUAUUUAAUCACAGGAUGGAUUUGUAAUCCAAACAUUGCCUAAGUGAGUAAAUUGUAAACCAGUAGUUGCAAUCAAAGAUGAUAUGGGUGAAUGGCGAUUGAUGAAGGUGCUAUUCGGUCAGGUCAACUACCUGCCGACUUUUGAAGACUUCAUUUUGAUCACAAGUGUGCAUUGCUCAGAAUGCCUUCAGCUUUUCCUUUCAUGUUACAUUUUGUUCUUUAUAUUAUAUUCCCCUCUUAGCAGAAUUGUAUUUUGGAACAUUUUAGCUGCAAUAGAAUAGUAUGAAACAACCAUCUAGCUCUUUGAAGCUAAAGAAACUAGUGGCAAUGCUUUGGUUCCAAACAAAAACACAAACUAUUAUUAAUAUAGCCUUCAACAAAUGCAAAAGUUACGAAUA